UGGAUGUAUGUCAACAAAAUAUUUUACAAAGCGAGCAUCUGAACAAGCAAGAAGAGUGCUCACUGAUAAUGUUGGUUUUGCAGCACCCUUUUGCUUCAGCCAUGCAUACAUUGAAAACCGAAGAUGAAUUCUGUCCACGUCAUAGCAGAGGUAAGAUGGAAAUGAUACAAUCGAUUCCACCGGAUAACCUAAAUAUGUUUUCAGUAGAACAAUUUUCUUCUCAAGAACAUCUUUGCUCUGGUUCAAUGCCGCAG
rnacentral:misc_RNA from 1 species